GAUCCGCGGCCGGACGGAUCAUUUGACACACGCAGUUGGCGACACCUUGUCUCCAACUGCACCCGAGUUCAGCGGUGGUGUCAGCGGCGGCUCGUCAGAGCAGAGGUCUUUACCUCUAUGCCGCAUUUGUACUGACC
rnacentral:ncRNA from 1 species